AACGUAGGUACCGAGCGUUAUCCGGAUUUACUGGGCGUAAAGCGUGUUCAGGCGGCCUGGCAAGUCGGGCAUGAAAUCUCUCGGCUCAACCGAGAGAGGCUGUCCGAUACUGCUGGGCUUGAGGACGGUAGAGGGUGGUGGAAUUCCGCGUGUAGUGGUGAAAUGCGUAGAUAUGCGGAGGAACACCAGUGGCGAAGGCGGCAUCCUGGACCGGUAUUGACGCUGAGGCGCGAAAGCCAGGGGAGCAAACGGG
rnacentral:rRNA from 1 species